rnacentral:lncRNA from 1 species
UGUGCGAUAUGCUCGGCUAGAAGGGAACAGAUCCACAAAAAGUUCAGCCAUAUCCUCAACCGAAGGGAACGAUCCACCAAGAAAACUUCGGUGAGGUAGUUCACGAUCCCUGUAGACAAUGUGGUGUAUGGACACGUUACACAAAUUAACUCAAAGACUAUCAACAAUUUGGUGUAACCAAAUUCUAUGUGGAGCUCCCUGAAAGAUGACCUGAAUGUACUCUCUGCUCUCAGGAAUGUACACCGUAGCAUAGAAGAAUCGGACCCAAUCCUCAAUAUACUGAUGAUGCCCUGAGACUAAAUCAGCCAAUCUGAGUAGUUCAUGGAAGUAUCCCUUAAUAUCCUCUCCUCCCGCAUCUAUGUUCAUAUGAUUCUAGUUUAUAAUCUUGUGCUCAAAUAAUUUGGUGGACAACUUUUUUAGUUAUAGUAGAAAAUUUGUUGAAUGACAAUCCUAAAUUUUGGUUCGACC